GGAGAGGUGCCUGAGUGGUUGAAAGGGGCACCCUGCUAAGGUGUUGGGCUUUAACGAGUCUCGAGGGUUCGAAUCCCUCCCUCUCCGCCA
rnacentral:tRNA from 1 species